AAACCAUGAUGAGGGUAUCUCCUGACAAGAUCUUUGAACCUCUCCUAUGCUUCAAAUAGUAUUUCAGUCUCUCCAUGCUUGAAUGCUGAUAAUUCCUGCCUAAUCUU